rnacentral:tRNA from 1 species
UGUUCUGUGCGGAAGUUGGUUAAAGCGCCCUUUCUAGCGAAGUUGGGGAGACGUGGGUUCAAAUCCCACCAGAACUA